UGAAUGUAAUCGAUGUAACGCAUCUAAUACAAAGUUUCAACAACGGAUCUCUUGGCUCUCGCAUCGAUGAAGAACGCAGCGAAAUGCGAUAAGUAAUGUGAAUUGCAGAAUUCAGUGAAUCAUCGAAUCUUUGAACGCACCUUGCGCUCC
rnacentral:rRNA from 1 species